rnacentral:rRNA from 1 species
ACCUGGCUUUUUUGCUUGGUGUAUUUUCUGGUUGAUGGGUCAGCAUCAAUUUUGACCAGUGGAAAAAGGUCGAGGGAAUGUGGCAUCUUCGGAUGUGUUAUAGCCUUUGGCUGCAUACAUUGGUUGGGAUUGAGGAACUCAGCACGCCGCAAGGCCGGGUUGUUUCAACCACGUUCGUGCUUAGGAUGCUGGCAUAAUGGCUUUAAUCGACCCGUCUUGAAACACGGACCAAGGAGUCUAACAUACCUGCGAGUGUUUGGGUGGAAAACCCAAGCGCGCAAUGAAAGUGAAAGUUGGGAUCUCUGUCGUGGGGAGCACCGACGCCCGGACCAGACCUUCUGUGACGGAUCCGCGGUAGAGCAUGUAUGUUGGGACCCGAAAGA